rnacentral:misc_RNA from 1 species
AAAAAAGAAUUAAUAGUUCCUGUAAAAAUUCUCUUUUUUUAAUUGUCUAAAUAUAACAUUUUUAUUCAGAUGCUACAAACAAACUGGAAAAGGUUUAAAGCCGGAGCCUUAAAAAGAACCAUUAGUAUCUUCUAGGUGGGUACAGAUGAAGUUCCCAAUUAUAAAAAAAUUUUGAAUCAGUUCUUAGAAACUUUUAUUGCUACUAAGCUGAAGCUGAUAGCUCGUAUAUAGAAGUUUGCUUAACUUCACAGAGAAGAGGGAUUGUUUAUAAGUGCUUGAAUUUUUCUGCAAGCUAUCA